rnacentral:tRNA from 1 species
AAUGAAUUGCCUGAUAAAAGGGCUACCUUGAUAGGGUAAAUCAUGUAAUCAAAAUUACAUUCAUUA